rnacentral:rRNA from 1 species
AGUGAACGCUGGCGGUAGGCCUAACACAUGCAAGUCGAACGGCAGCACAGUAAGAGUUUGCUCUUACGGGUGGCGAGUGGCGGACGGGUGAGGAAUAUAUCGGAAUCUACUUUUUCGUGGGGGAUAACGUAGGGAAACUUACGCUAAUACCGCAUACGACCUACGGGUGAAAGCAGGGGAUCUUCGGACCUUGCGCGAUUGAAUGAGCCGAUGUCGGAUUAGCUAGUUGGCGGGGUAAAGGCCCACCAAGGCGACGAUCCGUAGCUGGCCUGAGAGGAUGAUCAGCCACACUGGAACUGAGACACGGUCCAGACUCCUACGGGAGGCAGCAGUGGGGAAUAUUGGGCAAUGGGCGCAAGCCUGAUCCAGCCAUACCGCGUGGGUGAAGAAGGCCUUCGGGUUGUAAAGCCCUUUUGUUGGGAAAGAAAAGCAGCAGGUUAAUACCCCGCUGUUCUGACGGUACCCAAAGAAUAAGCACCGGCUAACUUCGUG